rnacentral:rRNA from 1 species
UACGAAGGGGGCUAGCGUUGCUCGGAAUCACUGGGCGUAAAGCGCACGUAGGCGGGUUCUUAAGUCAGGGGUGAAAUCCUGGAGCUCAACUCCAGAACUGCCUUUGAUACUGGGAAUCUCGAGUCCGGGAGAGGUGAGUGGAACUGCGAGUGUAGAGGUGAAGUUCGUAGAUAUUCGCAAGAACACCAGUGGCGAAGGCGGCUCACUGGCCCGGUACUGACGCUGAGGUGCGAAAGCGUGGGGAGCGAACAGG